rnacentral:rRNA from 1 species
UACGUAGGGGGCAAGCGUUGUCCGGAAUUACUGGGUGUAAAGGGCGUGUAGGCGGGACUGCAAGUCAGAUGUGAAAUUCCCAGGCUCAACCUGGGGGCUGCAUCUGAAACUGUGGUUCUUGAGUGCUGGAGAGGAAAGCGGAAUUCCUAGUGUAGCGGUGAAAUGCGUAGAUAUUAGGAGGAACACCAGUGGCGAAGGCGGUUUUCUGGACAGUAACUGACGCUGAGGCGAGAAAGCGUGGGGAGCAAACAGG